UACGUAGGCAGCGAGCGUUGUUCGGAAUUAUUGGGCGUAAAGAGUGUGUAGGCGGUGCUCUAAGUUCGGUGUGAAAUCUCCUGGCUUAACUGGGAGGGUGCGCCGGAAACUGGAGUGCUCGAACGUGGGAGAGGAAAGCGGAAUUCCUGGUGUAGCGGUGAAAUGCGUAGAUAUCAGGAGGAACACCUGCGGUGUAGACGGCUUUCUGGACCAUUGUUGACGCUGAGACGCGAAAGCGUGGGGAGCGAACAGG
rnacentral:rRNA from 1 species